rnacentral:rRNA from 1 species
AUUGAACGCUGGCGGCACGCCUAACACAUGCAAGUCGAGCGGUAGCAUGAGUAGUAGCAAUACUACUUGAUGACGAGCGGCGGACGGGUGAGGAACACGUAGGAACUUGCCUUUUAGAGGGGGAUAACUAAGGGAAACUUUAGCUAAUACCGCGUAAUCUCGAGAGAGUAAAGCUGCCCGCAAGGGUGGCGCUAAAAGAGAGGCCUGCGUCCGAUUAGCUAGUUGGUGAGGUAAUGGCUCACCAAGGCGAUGAUCGGUAACUGGUCUGAGAGGACGACCAGUCACACUGGGACUGAGACACGGCCCAGACUCCUACGGGAGGCAGCAGUGGGGAAUAUUGGACAAUGGGGGCAACCCUGAUCCAGCGAUGCCGCGUGAGUGAAGAAGGCCCUCGGGUCGUAAAGCUCUUUAGGUUGGGAAGAAGGACGUUAGGUUAAUACCCUGAUGUUUUGACGGUACCGACAGAAUAAGCACCGGCAAACUCUGUGCCAGCAGCCGCCGUAA